UUGCCCAGUUGGGAUAGAAGUGACAAGGGCCGGUUCCCAGAUAUUGGGGGCUGCCUUCCUGGUCUUUACAGUUAAAUAAUAUUCUAGACUCUCCUUCUAUGCCCUCUCCUUGCCUCCACCCCUCCCGGGCUUGCUUCCACCCGCAGGUGGCUCCGCAGCACUGCGCCAUAGGCAGGCAACUAGAGAGGGAGGUGAGGACUGAGGAGCUUCUGGCCACGAAGGUCACUCUGGCAGUUUACCGCUGGCACUGAGAGAUUUAAGAUUUGUCUGCGGCGUUCAGAAAGCACCUUGUUCCUGUUCAGAGAUCCUAAAGAAGAAACUAAGGCCCGGGGAAAUCUCAGGAAGGCUGCGCAGUAUUGGAGGGACAGAAUGACCUUCCAGCCCUGAGUCCCUGAACAAGUCCCAUCUCAUUCCAAAAAGGAUUUAAGGAGUAUGACCAAACUCAAACACAGCUGCUUCUAUGAAACUAACUUCCACAAUUGCCAACUGUGUGAACUUGGGCAAGGUAAGUGGCUCAGAGUGGAGUUAAACUCUUCAGACUGAAAUCUGAAAAGGUGGAAGACAGAAAACUGCUGCUAAUAACGCAGUCACAACUGUGUUUGGAAUUGCCUAUUUGAGAGAGACUUAGGCUGGUAAGAAGGCCUACAGCUGAUUGGCUGGCUGGAAAAUGAAGCUAGCCGGAAGGGGGCAGUGUGCUCUGCUCAUGUCCUUCCAUUGCUUCAUCUGUGGCAAAUUUGGGGCUCUGGAGAGAUUAGAAAAGUGGAUAAAAAUGUACAAGGAUGACAAAGAAAAUGUGAUUUAUACAAGGACACCUGGCUGGCUCAGCUGGUAGGGCAUGCGACUGUUGAUCUCAGCGUUAUGAGUUCAAGUCCCAUGUUGGGUGGAGAGAUUACCUAAAAGUAAA